UGUGAAUUUCCAGACAUUGUAAGUGAUCUACUUCCUGUCAUUGCUGUUCCUACUGACGAUGUCUACACCUUUAUUAAACAGACUGUACACUUCUAGAUCUAAGAAAGUGAUUUAUUGCUACUCUUUUUGGAACGAUGCAUUUACGGGGAUGAAAGCAAAUUUUGUAAAAGGUUUGUCAAAAAUAGAAGACAUCAAAGACUCACUACUUGUUUUUAAUGAUUUAAUGUCAUGUAUAAAUAUGAGAUCCCGGAGACCCCAAAAAUUCGUCUUAUAGAUAUAGUUUAAAUCUGUGCAAAACUUUAUAAACUUUAUAAUUUUUUAUUAAUUUCAACUUGUCAAAACUUUUCGCGCAGGAAGCGAUAGAAACAGGAAG
rnacentral:lncRNA from 1 species